rnacentral:rRNA from 1 species
UACGUAGGGUGCAAGCGUUAAUCGGAAUUACUGGGCGUAAAGCGUGCGCAGGCGGCUUUGCAAGACAGAUGUGAAAUCCCCGGGCUUAACCUGGGAACUGCAUUUGUGACUGCAUGGCUAGAGUGCGGCAGAGGGGGGUGGAAUUCCACGUGUAGCAGUGAAAUGCGUAGAGAUGUGGAGGAACACCGAUGGCGAAGGCAGCCCCCUGGGCUAACACUGACGCUCAUGCACGAAAGCGUGGGGAGCAAACAGG